UACGUAGGGGGCUAGCGUUGUCCGGAUUUAUUGGGCGUAAAGAGCGUGUAGGCGGCCAGGUAGGUCUGGUGUGAAAACUCGAGGCUUAACCUCGAGAUGUCAUCGGAAACCAUCUGGCUAGAGUCCGGAAGAGGAGAAUGGAAUUCCUGGUGUAGCGGUGAAAUGCGCAGAUAUCAGGAAGAACACCCGUGGCUAAGGCGGUUCUCUAGUACGGUACUGACGCUGAGACGCGAAAGCGUGGGGAGCGAACAGG
rnacentral:rRNA from 1 species